rnacentral:rRNA from 1 species
AGAACGAACGCUGGCGGCAGGCCUCAAACAUGCAAGUCUAGGGGGUGCAGCAAUGCAUCACCGGCGGACGGGUGCGUAACACGUGGGAAUAUACCUUUCGGUACGGAACAACGCAGGGAAACUUGCGCUAAUACCGUAUACGUCCUUACGGAGAAAGAUUUAUCGCCGAAGGAUUAGCCCGCGUAGGAUUAGCUAGUUGGUGAGGUAAUGGCUCACCAAGGCUCCGAUCCUUAGCUGUUCUGAGAGGAAGAUCAGCCACACUGGGACUGAGACACGGCCCAGACUCCUACGGGAGGCAGCAGUUGGGAAUCUUGGACAAUGGGGGAAACCCUGAUCCAGCCAUGCCGCGUGAGUGAUGAAGGCCUUCGGGUUGUAAAACCCUUUCGGACGGGACGAUAAUGACGGUACCCGUAGAAGAAGCUCCGGCUAACUUCGUGCCAGCAGCCGC